GAUGAACGCUGGCGGCGUGCCUAACACAUGCAAGUCGAACGAAGCUUGACGGAUGAUUUCUUCGGAAUGAAACCAGAUAUGACUUAGUGGCGGACGGGUGAGUAACACGUGAGCAACCUGCCUUUCAGAGGGGGAUAACGGCUGGAAACGGUCGCUAAUACCGCAUGAUGUGUUCGGAUGGCAUCAUCUGAACAUCAAAGAUUUAUCGCUGAAAGAUGGGCUCGCGUCUGAUUAGAUAGUUGGUGGGGUAACGGCCUACCAAGUCUACGAUCAGUAGCCGGACUGAGGGGUUGAACGGCCACAUUGGGACUGAGAUACGGCCCAGACUCCUACGGGAGGCAGCAGUGGGGAAUAUUGCACAAUGGGGGAAACCCUGAUGCAGCAACGCCGCGUGAAGGAUGACGGUUUUCGGAUUGUAAACUUCUUUUCUUAGUGACGAAGACAGUGACGGUAGCUAAGGAAUAAGCAUCGGCUAACUACGUG
rnacentral:rRNA from 1 species